ACCGGCUUUCGGACCGACCAGCAGCCCGUGUGAACAAGGGCCAUCCGAUACGGUUGAUGGGGGCUUCGGCCUUCUGAUUCCGUUGCUGUUUGGCCUGGACGCGCAUGGGUUGAGCGUUUCAGGAGUGACGCGGACGGGUAGCCGGCCGGGGAGGUGGUUUUCCCUGGUCAAGCGUGUGGCCCCGCCCCCAGGCAAAUCCGGGGGCAUGAUGGGGUGAGGCGUGAUGAUGGGCGCUGUUCAGGCGUGAUAUCCGGUGAUCCCGUCGGCCGAGAAAAGCUUCGGCGCGAGGUCCGUUGCCGCCCGUACCCCAAACCGACACAGGUGGUCUGGUAGAGUAUACCGAAGCGAUCGAGCGAAUCCUGGUCAAGGAACUCGGCAAAUUGCUCCCGUGCCUUCGGCAUAAGGGAGACCCCCGGCGGUUCCGGCCCCGUUCGCGGCCGCGGGCGGCUUGGGGGUGGCACARGCCAGGGGGUAGCGACUG
rnacentral:rRNA from 1 species